GCCAUACAUAACGUAUUCCUCCAUCAGUUACAUUUAUGAACGUGUUUUACCACUGCAAAACUUAAUGGCAUCAAAACUAUUCAUCUCCCCCAGUCUCCACGUAUAUAUAGUCCCACCGAUCCUAGACCUAAUCACUUGAUAAUAAACUAAUGCAUCACUGCUUCCAUGGAUAUCAAGAAGCCGAUUACGAGCCCAAAGUUACCAGAGAAAUCCACCACCAAAGCAUUUCCAAAUCCUAGAUGAAAGCUCCCGCAAAAUCAACCACCACUUGCACGGCUGAUUUAAGGAUCACCGGUUCCACCUAUUCCGUGGAUACUAAGAAGGAUAUUUCCACCUCCAAGUUUUGCUGGAUCAAGACUUGCAAUUAAUAAGAGAAGCUAAGUGGAGACAGGAGAUGUCGGAACGAGAAGCCACUUCGGUGAGCAAGACAUUCAAGCAUCCACGGUUGAUGGUAUUUCAUGGGGCAUGGAGGAAGAUGCUACUGAGGAAAGAGAGUUGUCUAAACAUGAAGUAUGGUGUUGAAGAAAUCAUGUGGCAAAUGUAUACAGGAGAACUCUCACCAGAGCAAGAAAAAACUAUUGAGGAGAUAUUGAAAGGGUUGGUUAAGGUUAGUUGUUUUUCAUUUCCAAUAUUUCACUCCUUAGCUUGUGUAGUUUGUAGAUUGUUCCAACUCUUCUUCACUCAUAAAUACAAUUUCUGAUAUUUUAUUAAUUGAUAGCCUACUCCAAUUUUUCCGCAUCUUUAUAUGAAAAUUAACUUCUAAGUAGAUUGGCCAUAUGAAGAAAGAAAUUGCUCCUACUUUAGCUAAAUAUAUUUCUCAGAGUGAGUGGAGAAAUGAGAGCAACAAACGCAGAUCGCAUAAUGAGCAGAGAAUCGCCAAGGUAACCUUUGAUGUUGAUUUUUGUGAAGUAGCAGCUUGGUCCAUAUGACUCUUCGAUUUUUAUUACAGGAUCCUUUGUCUGGCCUCGAAUCUCUUUUAAGCAUGAAUCGCAUAUUAUAUCUGAUUCUCUUUUAACUUUCCAUUUCUAGAAUUUAUAUGAUAGCUAACUUUCGACUUAUACCUUAUGUUUUCUGGUACUGCAUGCCCGGUGAUCCAUGCUUGGUUUCUAAACAUAUAUUCAAUCGUCUUUGAAGCAAAGUUCUUGGAAACGGAGUGCUAAGGAGAGCUGUUCAAACGCUUACAAGGGUAAUGGAUUUACCGCCCCGCCUCUCCAAAUGCAACAUGGGUGUGAUUAGGUUGAAGCAUUGGCUGCGGGAACCUGCCAAACUCAAACUCCUAACCGUCCAUGAUCAUACAAAUACAAGAGCUUACACGCAUUGCGAUCAAGAGAACAACAAGAACACACCUCUGACGUUGCAGCAUCUUCAUUUGUAGCUCCACCCUAUUUUUUUGUAAACAAAUUAUUGAUGGUUAGUUAUGUGUUUUGUUCCCAUUAACUUUGCGAAUCUGUUAUAAUUGUUUGUAACAACAACAAAAAUAAUCAUGUGAACGUUAUGA